rnacentral:tRNA from 1 species
CGAGGUGUGGCGCAGUCUGGCUAGCGCACCUGGUUUGGGACCAGGGGGUCGUAGGUUCGAAUCCUGCCACCUCGA